AAACAGGAUUAGAUACCCUGGUAGUCCACGCCGUAAACGAUGUCUACUUGGAGGUUGUGCCCUUGAGGCGUGGCUUCCGGAGCUAACGCGUUAAGUAGACCGCCUGGGGAGUACGGCCGCAAGGUUACCCUUCAUACAUAAACUCCUCAGGCCGAUUUAACGGGCUGUGAUUUCAUUAAUAUAUUAAUGAUUAGAUUUAUGCUUUCGCUGUACAUUUAGCAAGCUGAAGUAAAGUAUUUGUGAUGUGAUUAA
rnacentral:rRNA from 1 species